rnacentral:rRNA from 1 species
GUAGUCCACGCCCUAAACGAUGUCAACUAGCUGUUGGGGUUUAUUAACCUUAGUAGCGCAGCUAACGCGUGAAGUUGACCGCCUGGGGAGUACGGUCGCAAGAUUAAAACUCAAAGGAAUUGACGGGGACCCGCACAAGCGGUGGAUGAUGUGGAUUAAUUCGAUGCAACGCGAAAAACCUUACCUACCCUUGACAUGUCUGGAAGAUUCAAGAGAUUGAAUUGUGCUCGCAAGAGAACCGGAACACAGGUGCUGCAUGGCUGUCGUCAGCUCGUGUCGUGAGAUGUUGGGUUAAGUCCCGCAACGAGCGCAACCCUUGUCAUUAGUUGCUACAUUCAGUUGAGCACUCUAAUGAGACUGCCGGUGACAAACCGGA